AUUGGACUACCAUGGCAGUCACGGGUAACGGAGAAUUAGGGUUCGAUUCCGGAGAGGGAGCCUGAGAAACGGCUACCACAUCUACGGAAGGCAGCAGGAGCGAAAAUUGCCCAAUCCCGACACGGGGAGGCAGUGACGAGAAAUAACAACUCUUGGUUAUUCUAAGAAGUGUAAUGAGGAUAAUUUAAAACCCUUACCGAAAGCAAUUGGAGGGCAAGUCUGGUGCCAGCAGCCGCGGUAGUUCCAGCUCCAAUAGCGUAUAUUAAAGUUGUUGCAGUUAAAAAGCUCGUAGUUGAAGUUCUGGCUGCUUGACCCUCGAGCUCUGUAGCCGAGGGCUCAGCAGUCAUCCGCUUGCAAAUAUAUGUUCGCCUUUAACCGGGCGGCUAUAUGAGUAAGCAUUUUACCUUGAGAAAAACAGAGUGUUCCAGGCAGGUUUGUCCGGAAUGCAUUAGCAUGGAAUAAUAGAAUAUGACUGAAGUCGAUUUAUUGGUUUGAGGCUUUAGUAAUGAUUAAUAGGAACAGUCGGGGGCAUUGGUACUUGUCAGUCAGAGGUGAAAUUCUAGGAUUUGACAAAGACUAACAAAUGCGAAAGCAUUCCCAAGGAUGUUUUCAUUAAUCAAGAACGAAAGUUAGGGGAUCAAAGACGAUCAGAUACCGUCCUAGUCUUAACUAUAAACUAUACCGACUCGGAUUCAGAUGAAUCAUAAAGUUCAUUUGGGACCGUAGGAGAAAUCAAAGUUUUUGGGUUCUGGGGGAAGUAUGGUCGCAAGGCUGAAACUUAUAGGAAUUGACGGUUUUGCACCACCAUGGAGUGGAGUCUGCGGCUUAAUUUGACUCAACACUGGGAAACUCAUCAGGGCAAGAAGAUUGUAGGAUUGACAGAUUGAGAGUUCUUUCUUGAUUGGUCUAGUGGUGGUGCAUGGCCGUUCUUAGUUGGUGGAGUGAUUUGUCUGGUUAAUUCCGUUAACGAACGAGACCUUAACCUGCUAACUAGUACACCGAUGACAAAUCGGUGAUACUUCUUAGAGGGACUAUGUGAUGUAAUCACAUGGAAGUUUGAGGCAAUAACAGGUCUGUGAUGCCCUUAGAUGUCCUGAGCUGCACGCGUACUACAAUGGUGCUUUCAUCGAGCUUUUCCUGAUCCGAAAGGAUUUGGGUAAUCUUUCUAGUGAGCACCGUGCUUGGGAUAGAUCUUUGUAAUUAUGGAUCUUGA
rnacentral:rRNA from 1 species